rnacentral:SRP_RNA from 1 species
GCUGGGUGUUGUAGCGGGCACCUGUAGUCCCAGCUACUUGGGAGGCUGAGGCAAGAGAAUCACUUAAGCCCAAGAGUUUGAGAUUGCUGUGAGCUGCGAUGCUAUAGAACUCUGCUGAGGGCAACAUAGUGAGGCUCUGGCUCAAAAAAAAAAAAUAAUACAGUUGAUAAAAUUAACAAGCCAAGAUGAUUUGCAUGUGGCUUGCCAUCAAUUAGGAAUUUUUUUUUUUUUUUUUGAGAUAGAGUCUCACUAUGUUGCCCUUGGUAGAGUGCUGUGGCAUCACAGCUCGAGCAACUUCAAACUCCUGGGCUCAAGUGAUUCUCUUGCCUCAG